UUUCAAUUUGAAAGACGAUUGGUGUUAGACGUGUCAAAAAAAUAUUUUAUACGAAGAGAAAAAAAAAAAAAAUUCGAAGAUUUAAUUGAAUAAUUUUUAAGGAGAUAAAAGGAUUACGAGCAUACCACAUCAACUUAUUUUUAAAUUUCGGACGACGAAAUUAAUUUUUCAACUAAUUUUUAUUUUGCUGUUGUUUGGAUCGCCGAUUCUUCUGUGAAUCGGCGCUGUCCACGAACAAAAGAAGAGGAAAACUCCAAUCUCAAAUUAUCUGUAUUGGUCCCAAAUUUCCUUAGACAUCAAUCCCCUAAUUAUUAUAUAAUCGGUCCCAAAGACCAAUUGAUGCCUUUUAAAGGCGGAUAUUGAGAUUUUUGAUUCUACUGAUAUCAAGACCGGAGUCUUCUAAUCGAUGGUUUGAAUAGAGCUCCAAGAACCCAAAAUUGGCCUAAUACCCUGACUCGUCAAAUCAAUACAUCAAAUGCUAGAGUCUUCCCGUCCAUAGUUUUAUUGGAGCCCAAUGGACACAGCAUUUCCCAAUUACCGAAUUGUGUCAAUUAAAGAAUCCUGGGGAUUCUCAUUCUUUUUCAAUUGGAGAUAAAACAAGAAUAAUGUAUAGUAGGGAUUCUCAU
rnacentral:sRNA from 1 species